rnacentral:rRNA from 1 species
CAAGGAAUAUUGGGCAAUGGGCGAAAGCCUGACCCAGCGACACCGCGUGGGGGAAGAAGGCCCUCGGGUUGUAAACCCCUUUUAUUAGGGACGAAUAAUGACGGUACCUGAUGAAUAAGCUUCGGCUAACUACGUGCCAGCAGCCGCGGUAAUACGUAGGAAGCAAGCGUUAUCCGGAUUUAUUGGGCGUAAAGCGGGCGUAGGUGGUCCUUCAAGUCUGAUGUGAAAUCUCCCGGCUUAACUGGGAGGGUGCAUUAGAAACUGCUGGACUAGAGUGCAUCAGAGGAAGAUGGAAUUCCCGGUGUAGUGGUGAAAUGCGUAGAUAUCGGGAGGAACACUAGUGGCGAAGGCGGUCUUCUGGGAUGUAACUGACACUGAGGUCCGAAGGCGUGGGUAGCAAACAGG